CAGGGGGCCGGGGCCGGACCCGGGGGCGGCGAAGCGGAACAGGAGCACGGGCGCUGGGGCAGGUGCCGAUGCCGCUGCCUGGAGGCGGCAUGUGACGCGCGGGCGGAGUGCUCUCGGACCUCGGAGCGCACACAGCGGUGCAAGUGGGUGCCACUCCGAAUCCCCACGCUCAUUAUUUCUCCCCGGCGGUGACAGCGCUUCUGGAAAGACAGCGCGAUGAACCGAAGGACUGCCUGGGGCAUGGGCGCGCGGUCCUAAGACACUCGCUUCCUGAACACCAGGCGGGAGGCGACCAGCGAAAGGUGGACUGGGAGACCACCGUGCACCUGGGAGGCGCGGACCACCGGCGUAAGACAGCACCUGGGGCGCAGCGGCCAGAUCUGCACAGUGAUGGCACUUACUUCAGUUACGAGUUGCUCAGCGGACUGUGGAGUGACUGAACUAUACCCAUUCCCGUCAUGAUGCACACCCCUGAGGUUCCUCACCACACCUGUGUUCUGAUUAGAGGCAAAAUAAAUGACAUUCAAAACUUCCACUAAGGUACUAUAAGCUUUUGUGGUGAGAUGGCAUCUGGUUUCUUUCUACAAGGAAAGUUUAGCACACAGCACAGUCCUUGAAACAUUGGAUUGGUUUGAUGAGCCUACCUGGAAUAGGUAUGUAAAACCUCCAGCAUAUGCUUCAUCUCUUUGAGUCAUAUCUGUGGAUGUGUAUCCACUUCUGCUUUUCUUGUUGUUAACUUAGAGUGGAGUUUGUUCUGAAGAGUAAAAUUCAUGUGUCGAAGGUGACUAUGUGUUUACAGUAUGAUCUACAAGACUCCUUCAUUUUCUUUGUAAUGUGAUAAAUACAUAUUAAGAGCAUUCAUUCCAGGAGAGAAGGGAAAUCCCAUGCUCGUAUGGUUCUGAAAAUAAUAAGAUUUAAUCUACAACUCUGUGAAACUCAAGUGUGUAAAAUAUGAUGAUUCCCUGGCGUGUUUAUAAGAACGGCAUCUGUGGCUCAAAAGUCUAACAGGAAGAUAGAAACUUCUUUUUUUUUUUUUCCAAAAUUAAUCCAGGCUUAGGAAAAACUGAGUACCAAAUUAUGAAAUGACUGCACAUGGGAAUUAAUUAAUGAUUCUUUGAUCUCUUAGGUUGUAGGAUAAGUACUCCCUUGGUGUAUCAUAUGACAUAAAAAAAUACAGUAUUUGACAGUUUUAUUAAUGAAUUCUCUUGAAGGAAAUAUUCUGAAAUUAGAUUCUCAUAAGAUAUAAGUCAUGUAGCUCCUGAUUUAACUCAGUUCAGACUCUUUGAUGAGUGCUGUGUGUGUGGUUGUGGGUGUGGGGGGGGAUGGGUGUGUUAUCACUAAGGGAUACUUUAUUAUUUGACUCAUUGCUUUGUUGUAUUCAACUUUUGAAAUAUUAUUGGGAAUAUGGUAGGCUCGUUGAAAUUCUGGUAUGUAUUUAGAGAAGUGUCUGAUCUAUAUAAAUUGUAUUUUCAAAAGCAAGACUCUAUGUAACAACUCCCCUGUCCACCCCCUCCCCUCAAAAAUGUCUACUGAAAACCACAUUUGGUAAGUGGCACAGACAGACUUGAGACUUAAUCAGAUAUAAAACCUAGCUUUACUCCUUAACCUAUGACCUUGAAAAAAAAAUGUUAUGCUUCCUUAGAAAGAGGUGGGGAGGGAGAGGAUGGAAGAAGGGAAAAAAAAUAAAUCCACAAUUACAAUGCACCAAAUUUACCAGGUCACCUUUCUUAUUAAUGAGGUAUCAAGGAAUUAAUGGAUAUGUUUCUAAGAGUCUCCAGAGAAUUUCAUUCCUACAUUCUGUGAGAGUCUGAAAUCCAUAAUUAGAGUUUAACCUCCCUGAUUUAAGGUCGAAGUUGCAACUGGUCACCUGCACAUUACAGCUAUCUUAGGUUUUUAUUUUACAGGGGUUGGUUUUUUCCUUUUUGGGUUUUUUUUUGGCCUGUACAAAUUAAUACACAUGUGAUAUAAAAAAAUUGCCAAAUCAAAAAACUCAAGAGACUUCACAUAAAUCUUGGCUUUCUUUCUCUGCAAAUGGCACUACAGUUAAAGUAAUUGCUGGUGCCAAAAUUCUAGUUGUCAUACAAAUUUCCUCCAUCUUGGAGUUCCCUUUGUGGGUCAGUGGGUUAAGGUUCUGGUGUUGCCACUGCUUCGGCUCUGGUUACAGCUGAGGCCAGGUUCCGCCCCUGGCCUGGGAACUUCCGCAUUCCUGGAACUUUUGGGUGUGCCCCACGCAAAAAAAUUACUUACCUCUUCUUAACUUCUCUACAUCUAACCCAUCAAUUUCUCCAAAGCCUUGAUCCAACCUAGUGGUUCUCAACCCUCAAUAUGAAAAGAUGAUUAUCUGGUUGCUCAGGUUGCACCUAGAAAAUUAAGUCAACAGUACUGAGAGUGGAGCUGGGCUUCAGAAUUUUAGAAAGCUCUUCAGAUGAUUCUGAUGUGCAGCCAAGGCGAGAACCACUGCUCUACUAUCUUUUUCUUAGCUAUUAGAUGCGUCAAAUGCCACCCCCUGCCAAGUGCAAGUUAAAUUCACCACUUUCUAAUAUUAUCAGUCUUCUACCAUUGUCCCUAUGUCACCGCAUCAUUUCUAUUCUAGUCCCUGUUCAAUCCUAUCUCCACCCAACAGCCAGAGAAACUGUUAUGAAUAGAAACUUGUGGGUUCAAUGCCUGCGUAAACUCUUCAAUAAUAGUAGCAGUAAUGGUAACAACUGGUGAUCAUUGAUACCUUGGUUGAGUAAAGAACCCAAGUUCAGGUUUUAUAGAACCCAAGUUCAGGUUCAAGUCAUGGUGGCAUUAGGUUUCAGGAACAGAUGGAGGAAAGGGCACAAAGGAGGUGACUGCAGAUACCAAGGAAAGUUUAUUCCAUUUCCACAUGGGUCCUGUAGCCUAAUCUGACAAUACCUUCUCCUUGCCUGCUCCUCCAGGCAGUGACCCAUAGGCUAAAAGUUUUACUGACUUCUCCUACAAGUUGCUGCCCAAGCAGUGUCCUGAUGUCAUACUGCCAUCAGGAGCAAAGGGAUUUAAUAGUUUGGCAGUGACAUUAUUAUAAGAUUCAUGUUACAGCACAGCUACCAAUGUGUUUUAAAUGUCACUCCUUCAUAGUUGCAUGAUUCACCCAGCAAAAUAAGUUGAUACUGGUAAAUUUUUAGGCGGGAUAACCAAACUACGGAUGUGUGUUUGACGUUGGUAGUUAGACCUGGGAUCAUUUCUCCUUCCUCUCAGACAUAGAGUUUUUCCUUUUCAACAAUGAAUAACGUAUAUCAGGUUAUUUCUUUGAGCCGAAGUGGAGGGAUUUUCUUCUCAUGAUAACUGUAUAGUGACUAUGUAGACCAUAGAGGUAGAUACUGAAGUCUUUCCUUUUAGACUUCAGCCACCCCAUAACUGGAGAGAGUGCACGUGCCAUCGGAAGGGAGGAAGAUAAGAUAUCAUCAGAAAGUUUUCAUUAAGGACACCCUCUGACACACUGUGAUGUUAUUUUAUUCAGAGUUUAAAAAUAAAUCACUAAAUACAAACUGCUUUGAAGCUGAGUAGAAACUUUGCGUCCUUGUCGGCACCCCUUACACACAUCCAUUCUUUUUUCAGAUUCUUUUCCCAUGUGGAUUAUCACAGACUAUUGGGUAGAGUUCCCUGUGCUCUAUAACGUGUCCCUGUUGGCCAGUCAUUCCAUAUGCCUCAGUGUGCAUAUACCAAUCCCAAACCAAUCUGUGUUAAGACAAAAAUGUGCCUCAGAUGUUCAGGUAAUGGAAACUAAUAAAGAUGUUGUAAACUCAGUUACCUAGGUAUUGAAUUAAUGCUUCAGGCAUAGCUCUCUCCUUUACCUAAGUGGGUCUGUUUACCCAAAUAAUUUGUCUGCGCAGAGCCAUCCUACACUUAAGGAGACAGUUGAUGUUUUCAGCUCUCUCUGGAGUAUUUAUCCUGGGGGACAAAUGGAGAACAAAAUACAUGGAGAGGCCAGGCACACAUACACUGGGCAUCCUGGACCCAGUACAGGAUAGUGCUUAUUAAUGAGAUGCCUUUGUAUUUCCUUUGGGGACCAGGAUGGCUUGGCCUUGUGUACAAUUCUUCUCUGUGGUGAAUAGAGUUAUAAAAAGACCACAGAUUCUUUUCAUGCCAUUUUAGGAAUUUCUUUGAAAGGAUUCAAGCAGUGAAGCACAUUAUGUUUUAAGGUUCUGCAUUAGUAUAGGCAAAGCUUUUCCAAUAAGAUAAAGCCAUUUUUCUAAAUUCUUUAUGUCACUGAGUGCCCAGAAUCUGGACAGAGGGAAAUUAAAAUCUCUCUGAAAUCCACCAUAUUGCCACCACCAUAUGAAAUAGCUAUUGAGAGGGAAACUAAUAGUGUCUUAAAUGAACCUUGGGUUAAACAUACAUCCCUUUGCAUUUUCCAGUAUUGUUUUUCACUUACCUUUAACUCCUUUUCAAUCAGAAAAGUUCCCUAAGUUGAUUAGGAUUCAUUUUUUAAAAUCUAAUAUAAAAACGAGUACAUUUUUAUUAGAGGGAAGGCACGAUACAGAUGCUGAGUUGAUUGUGAGGAUUUGUAUUACGUUAUAUUAAUGAAUCAAAUGGCUCCCCAAAUAUACAUGUUUGUCAUAGGGAUUUACUGUUCUAUCAGACUUUUUCUUAUUCCCGUCAUUACUCUAGCACUUUGUGUUGACUUUUGAGAGUGAACAUUUUGGAACAAAAGAUAUAUUCUUCUAGGAUCCUCCAUGCUUGGACCACAUCAGACCUGAGUAAAUAUUUGUGAGAUGAAUGAUGAAUAAUUCAAAUGCAUUUUAAUUUUAGACACAAGCAGAUGAAAUUAUACCAAAGCUAGGAACUGAUUUAGCUGCUGAACUAGAUAUAUAAAAUAAUGAUCAAUAAAAAUGGUAAUUCCUCAGAUCAGAGACUAUGUCUGGUGUGCUCUGUUGCAAGCAGAGAGAUGGGCAUCAUUUUUAAAGGAUUUGGACAAAGUCAUAGGCCAGCAAAUCUAAUAUUUUGGUGAGCAGCUCAUCCUGAUUUCAUUAAGGCCUGGCUGUUCACUUCCCUCUUCUCCACCAGUGUUUUCAUCUUUAAAUUUUUUUUCUGCCAUAUUAGGGGGUGUUCUAGUCUAAAGACUCCUGAUUGAAGUGCCUUAUCUUUAAAAACUUUGCUAAGGGCAUGUGGGACAUUAAGAGGUAAAAUGCUACUGUGGCUCUGUAAGUAAUAGUCUUUUCAGAAACAGCUGCACUUGUGAAUAACUGAAUAAAGUCUAAUGUUGUCCAAGCAGGUUAUAUGCUACCCAAGUAAACCUCUAGGAAGUACUUGAGUUGUUUCUGUGCCCCCUUCUACUCAUCUGUUAAAUCUCUGACUUUUCUUGGCAAAGCUCAAACCCAAUUAAAGUCCAUAUGCUUUACAGUGCUUCACAUCUGCAUUUUAGAAAAAGAGCAGAUGACCCACAUGGAUGUUGGGUCUUAUCAGCCAACAGUAAUAUAAGCCUUUCAUACAUAAAAUUCUUUUUCUCAGCAGUUGUGAAAUUUCACUUUGAAAUUAAUUUUCAUUCUUAGUAUAACAGCAUACUAUGUCUCAAGGAAUAAGUGAUUUCAUAUAUUUAGGAGCCCUAAACUAUAUUCCCAUAUUGGAGAGAGAUUUAAAGCAAAUUGGUUUAUUUCAUCUGAAUAGUAAUAAUAUAAUCAAUGAUAGCUGUGAAAUUAGGAACUUCCCCAUGUUUAACUUAGCCAUCUUAAUGUUCAAAUAUAUUUUUCUUUACAUUAUUAAUUUUUUCUUCCUUUCAACAUUUCCAUCCUCUACUGUUUACUUGUCUUUACUGAUAUGUCUUACUCUGGUUAAAAAAAAAAAUACUCUACAUAGGUUAUAACAAGAAUAAAACAAUAAUUUUAAAUGGAAUAGAAAAUUAAAGCGGGACAAAUAUAAAUAAAACUGUAGAAUAAGAGAGAAAUAAGUAUCAGUCACAAUUAGGCAAAUCCUAAAGACCAGCCUUUGCUGCUGUUGAUCAUCAGACUUUAAGUUUGCUCGGGGAUAAUGCAAAAUUUUUGUGAGGCAGUUCUUUUGUCUGAAAAAAAAAAAGAUUUGCCUAACAUUAAAAUACUCCUUCUGUAAGAAAAGAAAUUAGGAGUUCCCAUCAUGGCUCAGUGGUUAACAAAUCGACUAGGAACCAUGAGGUUGCCGUUGCGGGUUCGAUCCCUGGACUCGCUCAGUGGGUUGAGGAUCCGGCGUUGCCGUGAGCUGUGGUAUAGGUCGCAGAUGCAGCUCGGAUCCCGAGUUGCUGUGGCUCUGGCAUAGGCCAGUGGCUACAGCUCCAAUUAGGCCCCUAGCCUGGGGACCUCCAUGUGCCACAGGAGCGGCCCUGG
rnacentral:lncRNA from 1 species